rnacentral:rRNA from 1 species
AUUGAACGCUGGCGGCAUGCCUUACACAUGCAAGUCGAACGGCAGCACGGGAGCAAUCCCGGUGGCGAGUGGCGAACGGGUGAGUAAAGUAUCGGAACGUGCCCAGUCGUGGGGGAUAACGUAGCGAAAGUUACGCUAAUACCGCAUACGAUCUAUGGAUGAAAGCGGGGGAUCGCAAGACCUCGCGCCAUUGGAGCGGCCGCUAUCAGAUUAGGUAGUUGGUGGGUAAAGGCUCACCAAGCCGACGAUCUGUAGCUGGUCUGAGAGGACGACCAGCCACACUGGGACUGAGACACGGCCCAGACUCCUACGGGAGGCAGCAGUGGGGAAUUUUGGACAAUGGGCGAAAGCCUGAUCCAGCCAUGCCGCGUGCAGGAUGAAGGCCUUCGGGUUGUAAACUGCUUUUGUACGGAACGAAAAGGUUUGGCCUAAUAAGCUGAGCUCAUGACGGUACCGUAAGAAUAAGCACCGGCUAACUACGUGCCAGCAGCCGCCGCCG